rnacentral:rRNA from 1 species
GAUGAACGCUGGCGGCGUGCUUAACACAUGCAAGUCGAACGAAGCGACUAUGAUUGAGAUUUCGGUUGAUUGAAUAGUUGACUUAGUGGCGGACGGGUGAGUAACGCGUGGGUAACCUGCCUCGUACAGGGGGAUAACAGUUAGAAAUGACUGCUAAUACCGCAUAACCCGCUAGGGUCGCAUGACCCAGACGGAAAAGAUUUAUCGGUACGAGAUGGUCUCGCGUCCGAUUAGAUAGUUGGUGAGGUAACGGCUCACCAAGUCUGCGAUCGGUAGCCGGACUGAGAGGUCGAUCGGCCACAUUGGGACUGAGAUACGGCCCAGACUCCUACGGGAGGCAGCAGUGGGGAAUAUUGGGCAAUGGGGGAAACCCUGACCCAGCAACGCCGCGUGAAGGAAGAAGGCCUUCGGGUUGUAAACUUCUUUUAGUAGGGACGAAGAACGUGACGGUACCUACAGAAAAAGCAACGGCUAACUACGUG